rnacentral:rRNA from 1 species
AUAGAUACCCCAGGUAGUCCACGCCGUAAAACGGUGGGGCACUAGGUGUGGGCACAUUCCACGUCGUCCGUGCCGCAGCUAACGCAUUAAGUGCCCCCGCCUGGGGAGUACGGCCGCAAGGCUAAAAACUCAAAAGGGAAUUGACGGGGGGGCCCCGCACAAGCGGCGGAACAUGUGGCUUAAUUCGACGCAACGCGAAGAACCUUACCAAGGCUUGACAUACACCGGUAACGUCCAGAGAUGGGCGCCCCCUUGUGGUCGGUGUACAGGUGGUGCAGUGGCUGUCGUCAGCUCGUGUCGUAGAGUAGUGGUUAGGGUUAACGUCCCGACAACGAGCGCCUAACCUUCGUCCGUGUCGCCAGCACGGUCCUGUGGUGCGUGGGACUCGACGGGACGACCGGCCGGGUCAACGUCGGAGGAAGGGUCGGGGACGACGUCGACGUCACUCGAGUCGUCCCUUAGUGUCGUUGGG